GUUAUAGGGUCAAGCGAACAAGUGCAUGUGGUGGAUGCCUUGGCGAUCACAGGCGAUGAAGGACGCGGUAGCCUGCGAAAAGCUACGGGGAGCUGGCAAACAAGCUUUGAUCCGUAGAUGUCCGAAUGGGGAAACCCACUCCUUUUGGAGUAUCCAUGGCUGAAUACAUAGGCCAUGCGAAGCGAACGCGGUGAACUGAAACAUCUAAGUAACCGCAGGAAAAGAAAUCAACCGAGAUUCCCAAAGUAGUGGCGAGCGAAAUGGGAUGAGCCUUGUACUCUUUAUUUGUAUUGUUAGCCGAACGCUCUGGAAAGUGCGGCCAUAGCGGGUGAUAGCCCCGUAGGCGAAAACAGUAUGAAAGAACUAGGUGUACGACAAGUAGGGCGGGACACGUGAAAUCCUGUCUGAAGAUGGGGGGACCAUCCUCCAAGGCUAAAUACUCGUG
rnacentral:rRNA from 1 species